AUAGCUUUAAAGGUUAUAGGUACAACAUUCUUACUUGCGAACAAAGAACUGAAAAUCCUUGUGUCGGUGGUUCGAUUCCACCUCUGGGCACCA
rnacentral:tRNA from 1 species